GGCGCCUCUCCCUCCACACCUCCCUGCAAGCUGAGGGAGCCGGCUCUGGCCUUGGCCAGCCUAGAAAGGGGCUCCCACAGUGCAGUGGUGGGCUGAAGGGCUCCUCAAAUGCCGCCAAAGUGGGAGCCCAGGCAGAGGAGGUGCCAAGAGCAAGCGAGGGCUCUGAGGACUGCCAGCACGCUGUCACCUGUCAUUAUCAACAACUUGACUAAAAUACCUCUGUGUUUGAAGAGGAAGCCAGAGAAAUUAGAAACAAGAGAAACAUUUGAUGCAUUAUUGCUGACUUGAAGAUGGAGAGAGGUUCCCCUGAGCAUACAGGAGUACUCCAUGAAGACUGCAAUGGCUUCCCUCUCACAAACUGCAUGCACGUCCAGCAGCUCCUGGAGUGUGUCUGUGGGGAAUCUCACUUGCUGGGCCAUCUGCUGGCUGUAGUGGUUGGCUGCCCUCUGCACGGCUGCUGAGUUCUCACACUGGGCCAGAACUGCCAUUGCAUUCUCCAGACAAGGAGUCGCUCCACUGUUGAUGGCAUCCAGAGACCAUCAAGCUUCAGAAGAUCAUGUGACAAAUGUUCCAGCCAGUUCCAGUUGAAGACACCACCCCUGGCCAUCAAGAAGCUACUCUGCCUCCACUAGACAGAGCAGGGUGACAGUUCCGUGAUCCCCAAUAGGUAGGGACUUUGCUUCAAGCCAGCAUGAGGCAGUUACAGAAGAAAGACCAUUAGUCACUCCACCUCCCAUAAAGAUUUAUGGGGAUGACAUCUCUCAGGGAGGAAAUGAGGCAGGAAAAUAGGAUCUGGAGGCAUAGAACAUAAGGCCUAUUCACACUUCAGCUAUGCCGGGAAAUAUUAUCUCCAUUUACAUAGGGCAUACACAAAGUAACCAAUGGAAACCUCUAGAGGGUAUUUAAAUCCCCCAAAAUUCUGUAACAGGACCCUUGAGCCCCUAUGCUUGGGCCCACUCCCACACUGUGGAGUGUACUUCCAUUUUCAAUAAAUAUCUGCUUUUGUUGCUUCA
rnacentral:lncRNA from 1 species